CACGUAGGGUGCGAGCGUUUGUCCGGAAUUAUUGGGCGUAAAGCGCACGCAGGCGGUCUGUUAAGUUUGGAGUGACAGUUGGUGGCUCAACCACCAAAGUGCUUUGAAAACUGAUAGACUUGAGGGCUUCAGAGGGACACGGAAUUCCGGGUGGAGUGGUGAAAUGCGUAGAGAUCCGGAGGAACACCAAAGGCGAAGGCAGUGUCCUGGGGGAGUACCUGA
rnacentral:rRNA from 1 species